GUCAUGGAAAUGUAAGAGUGGAAU
rnacentral:piRNA from 1 species